UAGGGAAUCUUCGGCAAUGGACGGAAGUCUGACCGAGCAAACGCCGCGUGAGUGAAAGAAGGUUUUCGGAUCGUAAAGCUCUGUUGUAAGAGAAGAACGAGUGUGAGAGUGGAAAGUUCACACUGUGACGGUAUCUUACCAGAAAGGGACGGCUAACUACGUGCCAGCAGCCGCGGUAAUACGUAGGUCCCGAGCGUUGUCCGGAUUUAUUGGGCGUAAAGCGAGCGCAGGCGGUUAGAUAAGUCUGAAGUUAAAGGCUGUGGCUUAACCAUAGUACGCUUUGGAAACUGUUUAACUUGAGUGCAAGAGGGGAGAGUGGAAUUCCAUGUGUAGCGGUGAAAUGCGUAGAUAUAUGGAGGAACACCGGUGGCGAAAGCGGCUCUCUGGCUUGUAACUGACGCUGAGGCUCGAAAGCGUGGGGAGCAAACAGGAUUAGAUACCCUGGUAGUCCACGCCGUAAACGAUGAGUGCUAGGUGUUAGACCCUUUCCGGGGUUUAGUGCCGUAGCUAACGCAUUUAAGCACUCCGCCUGGGGAGUACGACCGCAAGGUUG
rnacentral:rRNA from 1 species